AGUAUACAGGCCUAAAGUAUUCUUAAUUUUGAAGGAAUUUGAUCUAUCUAAGAAUUGUUGGCUGUUUUCCAAAACAAACCCAAAAAACAUUCUUCCAUGACAGGACGUUAUUUUCUCUUUACGCAUUGCUGAUAAAAAUCAGUCAAACUUCCUUCACAGCAGGUGCAAGAACAGCUUAGAAGAACAAAGAAGGACUCCUACAUACUCGUUUUAUCUCCGACUUCAUCAUGAGAUUAUUUCUGGUUUCACAGCUUCUGCUGGUGUUCAUAUCAGUCCUGGCACUGACCAGGGCACAAACAACAACAACUGACACAAC